AGUGAGAUGGCCAAGUGGUCCAAGGCUAGAGACUAGGUAUUUCUUCGGCGGCGGCGGUUCGAUUCACCCUUUCAUCA